AGAGUUUGAUCAUGGCUCAGAUUGAACGCUGGCGGCAGGCCUAACACAUGCAAGUCGAGCGGUAGCACAGAGAGCUUGCUCUCGGGUGACGAGCGGCGGACGGGUGAGUAAUGUCUGGGAAACUGCCUGAUGGAGGGGGAUAACUACUGGAAACGGUAGCUAAUACCGCAUAACGUCGCAAGACCAAAGUGGGGGACCUUCGGGCCUCAUGCCAUCAGAUGUGCCCAGAUGGGAUUAGCUAGUAGGUGGGGUAACGGCUCACCUAGGCGACGAUCCCUAGCUGGUCUGAGAGGAUGACCAGCCACACUGGAACUGAGACACGGCCCAGACUCCUACGGGAGGCAGCAGUGGGGAAUAUUGCACAAUGGGCGCAAGCCUGAUGCAGCCAUGCCGCGUGUAUGAAGAAGGCCUUCGGGUUGUAAAGUACUUUCAGCGGGGAGGAAGGCGAUAAGGUUAAUAACCUUGUCGAUUGACGUUACCCGCAGAAGAAGCACCGGCUAACUCCGUGCCAGCAGCCGCGGUAAUACGGAGGGUGCAAGCGUUAAUCGGAAUUACUGGGCGUAAAGCGCACGCAGGCGGUCUGUCAAGUCGGAUGUGAAAUCCCCGGGCUCAACCUGGGAACUGCAUUCGAAACUGGCAGGCUAGAGUCUUGUAGAGGGGGGUAGAAUUCCAGGUGUAGCGGUGAAAUGCGUAGAGAUCUGGAGGAAUACCGGUGGCGAAGGCGGCCCCCUGGACAAAGACUGACGCUCAGGUGCGAAAGCGUGGGGAGCAAACAGGAUUAGAUACCCUGGUAGUCCACGCCGUAAACGAUGUCGAUUUGGAGGUUGUGCCCUUGAGGCGUGGCUUCCGGAGCUAACGCGUUAAAUCGACCGCCUGGGGAGUACGGCCGCAAGGUUAAAACUCAAAUGAAUUGACGGGGGCCCGCACAAGCGGUGGAGCAUGUGGUUUAAUUCGAUGCAACGCGAAGAACCUUACCUGGUCUUGACAUCCACAGAACUUAGCAGAGAUGCUUUGGUGCCUUCGGGAACUGUGAGACAGGUGCUGCAUGGCUGUCGUCAGCUCGUGUUGUGAAAUGUUGGGUUAAGUCCCGCAACGAGCGCAACCCUUAUCCUUUGUUGCCAGCGGUUCGGCCGGGAACUCAAAGGAGACUGCCAGUGAUAAACUGGAGGAAGGUGGGGAUGACGUCAAGUCAUCAUGGCCCUUACGACCAGGGCUACACACGUGCUACAAUGGCGCAUACAAAGAGAAGCGACCUCGCGAGAGCAAGCGGACCUCAUAAAGUGCGUCGUAGUCCGGAUUGGAGUCUGCAACUCGACUCCAUGAAGUCGGAAUCGCUAGUAAUCGUAGAUCAGAAUGCUACGGUGAAUACGUUCCCGGGCCUUGUACACACCGCCCGUCACACCAUGGGAGUGGGUUGCAAAAGAAGUAGGUAGCUUAACCUUCGGGAGGGCGCUUACCACUUUGUGAUUCAUGACUGGGGUGAAGUCGUAACAAGGUAACCGUAGGGGAACCUGCGGUUG
rnacentral:rRNA from 1 species